rnacentral:rRNA from 1 species
CCUACGGGUGGCAGCAGUGAGGAAUAUUGGUCAAUGGACGCAAGUCUGAACCAGCCAUGCCGCGUGCAGGAAGACGGCUCUAUGAGUUGUAAACUGCUUUUGUGCGAGGGUAAACGCAGAUACGCGUAUCUUUCUGCAAGUAUCGUAUGAAUAAGGAUCGGCUAACUCCGUGCCAGCAGCCGCGGUAAUUCGGAGGAUUCAAGCGUUAUCCGGAUUUAUUGGGUUUAAAGGGUGCGUAGGCGGUCGGAUAAGUUAGAGGUGAAAUCCCGAGGCUCAACUGCGGAAUUGCCACUGAUACUGUCCGGCUAGAGAGUAGUUGCGGUAGGCGGAAUGUAUGGUGUAGCGGUGAAAUGCUUAGAGAUCAUAAAGAACACCGAUUGCGAAGGCAGCUUACCAAGCUACUUCUGACGUUGAGGCACGAAAGCGUGGGGAGCAAACAGGAUUAGAUACCCGAGUAGUC